rnacentral:rRNA from 1 species
GACGAACGCUGGCGGCGUGCUUAACACAUGCAAGUCGAACGGAAAGGCCCUGCUUUUGUGGGGUGCUCGAGUGGCGAACGGGUGAGUAACACGUGAGUAACCUGCCCUUGACUUUGGGAUAACUUCAGGAAACUGGGGCUAAUACCGGAUAGGAGCUCCUGCUGCAUGGUGGGGGUUGGAAAGUUUCGGCGGUUGGGGAUGGACUCGCGGCUUAUCAGCUUGUUGGUGGGGUAGUGGCUUACCAAGGCUUUGACGGGUAGCCGGCCUGAGAGGGUGACCGGCCACAUUGGGACUGAGAUACGGGCCAGACUCCUACGGGAGGCAGCAGUGGGGAAUAUUGCACAAUGGGCGGAAGCCUGAUGCAGCAACGCCGCGUGAGGGAUGACGGCCUUCGGGUUGUAAACCGCUUUCGCCUGUGACGAAGCGUGAGUGACGGUAAUGGGUAAAGAAGCACCGGCUAACUACGUG